UGGCUGCUUCUGUAAGGCCUUUCUGCCUCGGCUCUGCAGGCAGCUGCGCUUGCUCUGACCCGGCGGGCGCGUGCCUGGCCCCAGCACCGGGGGCUCCACAUGGGGGUGGCUGUGUCUCAGGAUGGCUGCUGGCAUUUUGGUGAAGAAGGGCUUUCUCAGUGUCGUGUUAAGAUAAUUCAAAUUGUUCCAGCGUUCAUCUAAAAACACAGAAAUACCUGACCCUUUUAAACCUACCAUGCUCAAAACAAUUACAACACUGCUUUUUGUUUCAUUUUUUAAAAGGCAAUAUACCUCUGGUUUAGACCACAUUUAGGUAGAAAAUUACUGUUUGUUUGUAUUUUUUUGAAAGAGGCAGUCAGUUAGUGCUGAAAUAAUAAUUCUGGAAAUGCAGAGGCUUCUGUCUGCCUGGACAGCACAGCUUGUUUUGCAACUUUGCUUCUGACGUACCUGAAAAGCAUUGCCCCUGCAGCUUCCCCAUCAGGGAACCCCCAUGCCAAAGCUCACAGCAGGGGCAGGAAGGGGGAAAGGGAUGUGGUGCUCUCCCAACCUACUGCAUUUAAGCCUGAGUCCAUGAAAAAUCCCUUUUAUGAUGGAUACACUGCAAUAUAAUUGACCUAAACCCCCAGCCUCCGAUGGAGGUUGCAAUGCAACACUAAGCUGGUGACAGAGCCUGCUGUCUGAGGGGUUUUGCAAGGUCGUGUUUUAGGAGGAAAUACAUUUCUCCUCCAGCCUGAUGCAAUCAGUUUACUGAGUGGCAAGUAGCUGCGGACACCUCAUGUGCUGCUUUGCAAAGUGUUUGUGGAUAUCCUCAGAUGAACAUUGCCAAAGAUAAGAUCUUAAUUAUAGAAAUCUCAAGAGCGAUUGAGAAAAUAGCUCAACAGGGAUGUCGGGGUGGUUUCCCCAGAGGAAGCAGGGCAGCCCUGCAGACGUGCAGCACCAUCACCACCUCCAGGGAGCUGUUCGUCAAGGGACAGCCUGUCCUGGCACGGCCCCUCGUAGAUGCUAGCUCCUGCUUCACUGUCUUCUCCAUGCUUGCAGGUCCCCAGGCACUCUGCUGUAAAAACCUGUGAGCUGGGUCUCCAGCGAGCUCCUUCAGGAAGGGAUUUUGGGUGAGGGAUGAUCCAGGAGGUGUUCACAGGCACUCUCUGAAAUGUGGAGGGGCAACAUGUGCUCUCCUGAGGAGUUAACUGCUCCAUGACAGCUUCUGUCGUAUCUGAAAGGACUGCCAGAAAAAUCUGGAAAUUGUCCAUGACCAAGGAGGUAUCAGGGAGCUACGCAACAAGUGUGGUUUUUGUGCCACAUUCAGUCCUGAAGCCAAACUGAAGUAGUUCAAAGAAAUAUGAAGUUAUGCUGUUUUACAUCAAAGCUUUUCCCUAAAAGCUACUAAUUUUCCCCAGACAAGAAGGCCUCAGAGACAGCUGGACUGCCAGCAAGAUUACCAGCUCCUGGCAGCUCCUUCUUAAAUAAAUCCUGUGGAUCUCUACUCUGAGAGAAGCAGGGAACUCAAAACUUCAGACUGGAAUUUGCAUCUUGUUCUUAAUAAAUUUGGAUACAACUCUCCCAAAAUAAGGUGGGAGACCUCCUAGAAAUUGAGGUGUUGGACUAGAAAUGAGGAAACCAAACUCAUGGACAUCAGCUCCUGCCCUACUGGAUGGCAGGUGUGGAGCCAUUCUUCUGCUUGCACACCCACAAGCAUCUCUCAGCAUUGUGUGGACUUUUCUUGGGGUGGAUGAUUUCCACACACUGGGAUUUAGAAGAGACAUUUUGCUGCCUGUACCUGGAAGCAAAACAGGAGGUGUUGAAUGUGCAACACUUAUCAUUAUACACUAACUAGGUCUAUCACACAGGCCGGGAGUUUGCCUCUUUUUUUCCUACCUCUCUUUUUGGUAAGCAAUCUUUCCUUACAUCUCAGUGCUUUCCCAGUUAAAGGACCAGUGUAAAACCCAUGUACAUAGGAUUUACACCUCUGGUUUUCAAUAGGCACUGACUGCUUGGCACUUCCUUAAUGUGAGAUUGUAAAAUACCUAAAACAAGGACUGCUUUGGAAAGAUAAUGAGCACCUGAAUUGCUCUUGAGAGCAGAGGUAAUUGUGUGUUAAUGCACACGUCCUGAGCCAAAAAUCGUGGCUCGGGAAGAAACUCAAGACUGGGUUCAAAAGGUGCUUAAAAAGGAAGCUAUCUAAAGCAUUUGAUAUGACAUCCAAAGGAUUUACCUGGGUCAGAGCAACCUGAUGAAUUCACUUGAAAGUGAAUCUCUCUGGAAGUAUUCCUUCAUCCUAGAGAAAGCAGGAGGGAUCAGAAAUGCCAUUCUUCAUAGAGAGUGUGAUAUUCAGCUCACGCAGUCCUAUAAGCACACAGGAGAGGAAAGAGGGUGAUGGGCUCAGGCUUCUCUCCCCUGUACAUCCGCUAUCUUUCCAUACACAAACAGAUGUGCUCACAUAGAUUCAUCUGCAAUGCAAUUCUAAAAUCAGUUAUUUUCAGAACAGUGCAUGGGACAAGAACCCCUGAAACUUGCAUUUUCUUUAAAAGAAUUUAUAUUGUUUUUAAAAAUAAAUAUGCAUUUUAUUGCUCCCCAAAUCACCUGAUGAUUCAGGCUCACCCCCAAAUGUACCCAUGUAUGAGUUUUAAUAUUUUUAGGUGGUUUCCGAGCAUUCCAAGGACUUAAAAUACAUGUUAAAGAAAACAUUAAAUUUAAAAUCAUUUAGGGAAUGAAUGAAGUUCAAGAGAAUUUUAGGUAUUCUGAAUGCGUAGAUCUGAAUUUGCUUUAAAGAUUUUCCAAGAUAUUUAGGUUACAGAGGUGAUCUAAUGCUUCGCUUAAAUACUGCUCACAGGUUGAUUUGCAUGGCUUUUGGAGGUUAAUACCAUGUUUCAACAGAUAUUUUUUAUUUUUAUUUUUAAUUAUUUUAUAUUAUCUCCCUUCUGCCCAGGAUGUCUUUGUAAGACUUUUAGAUAAGAGAAAUCUUGACCUGGAUUGGCUUUUUGGUUGAGUUGUUUUUUCUCAACUUCUAAUUUACCUUUGCAACACCACCCAACAGUAUGCUACUACACCCUGCAAUGCCAUCAUAGCUCUAUAUCAGGGAGCUUUUCAAAAAAUCACAGGAAGAUGGGCUGAUGCCUCACUCCCAGGCAUACAAAAUGAGGUGAUACUCUGUACUGUAGCCCAGCCCAGCUGCACCUUUCCUCCUUGGAGCAUCACACCACAGUUUUUCACAGCCAGCGUUCAGGUCGCCUUCUGCCUUGGAGUCGGAAUAAGCCCCAGUGUGUCCCAUUGGGGGUGGCAGAUGCUGAUCCAAUUCCUUCUCCUUGCUGGAAAUGCUCAGCAGCCCCCAGUCCUUGCCUGCUGCAGGCUGAAAUGGGGUUUUUGCUUCAGGGGAUGGAGCCCACACU